AUGGAAAGGGUUUCAUCUUUCUGAACAUUCACCACACUGAUUCCGCCUAGUAAUUGUCUAAGAUACAGACGAAAAUUGAUCACUAAUGAAGACUGUUAACUCAAAACCUGGCCAUAUCUCAUAUAACAAGGAGUAUGUCUGAGCUCUUCUGCUCAACCUCCUCCCAGCUCUGUAUUUCCCAGUCUUCAUGAUGGGUAUCAAGAAAAGGGAAAAUAAGAAAGACUUGGCAUUUGAGUUUUGAAGGUUAGAGCUACAUAUUUGAUGAUCAAGAACUCUCGAACUGCACCUGGAUACUAAUUCUGAAUGGAAGCUUACAAUUGUAAGGUGUUUAGCUCUUACUCUACACAAAUCCUUUUUGUGUGAGGAAGAUAAGGCUGUUGGGAGAGUCAAGUAAUUGAAUGAUGUGAAUUUCCUGGAGUUUCCAUAAGUUCCUGUAAAUUUAGCCUCCAACUGAAAUAAACCAAUUGGUACUCUUGUGAAAUUCAAAAUUAUGCUAUCAUCAGCUAAGCUGAAUGAAAAGAAAUUAGACAUGAAAGUCAUAGGCAGCCCUUUUUAAAAUUGUAUCUUUUAUAGAAACAUCAUUAUAUGGAACAAUUGGAAGAAGCAAAUUUAUUUGAGUGUGCAUUUUUAAGACAGUUCAACAA
rnacentral:sRNA from 1 species